AUACCGGCUCCGCUUGUGUAACCUGGGAGCGGCGAUUAGUGACGUGCGGGAGCGAUACCGGGGAGGAAAGCAGACGAAAAGAGUACCGCAGAACAACAGUACCGGGGAGGAAAACCGGUAACGAAAGACGUAGGAAGGAUGGUGUGAUUGAUAAUCGGCGCCUGCCGCUAUGUGGCCAGGAAGAUUGCGUCUGCGGGGCGUGGGGAAGAUGACGAGAAGAGAGCGGCUGACCGCGGGGCCGUGAAGCCGUCUUGUGUUCUUCGUCAAGGUCAUAAGAAAGAUGCCCUGGCGCGGCCUCUGACCUCUGACCUUUCCACUCCCCUGACUGCUCAACCUGCUGAAGCUCCGCCUCCUACCUCAGCCCUCGAGCCAUGCGGGUCGCAGUAACGCGGCGCUGGGUGUCGGGAGGCAGCACCGCGGGAGAAUGAACCUCCUCCCAGCAGCCUCUGGAUAGAGGUUGGGAGGAGGCGAGAUGAAAAAGAGCCCGCUGUGUCUUUAAUAAAUGUCUGAAACGUUA